UCCCGCUGAUACAAGCAAUUUUACAAGCACGAGCCAAGUGGUAACAUAAAUAAAUGCUUAGUUUGGUAGUACAUGCUAUCUUGUUUAAAUUGCCAGUGUGUCAUAUCACGGGCGGGUUUUGGAAGCGUUUUCCUGCGCCAACUACUGGAAUAACUGAAGCAUGACGCAGGAUAAAUGCCAAAAAAUGCAGCUGCAACUAAAUAUCUAUGGUUGCAUCAGUAGUCAGUCCAUUGCAUGAAGUAGGUCAAACCACCAUCGUCGCAACCAAGCCAAACACCAACCAGCUAGUGAGCUAUAGUCAGUGGAAUUAGCCAACUUCAAGCACCGUUACCCAGUGCAUACAUACGGCUAUUAACGCACACAUACAAAAACCACAAAGCGCCUACUUAGCUCAUUCAACAACGCAUUUUAAAUAAGUUUUUUUCCUGUAAAUAAAGUUAAAAGUGCGAAUUCAUUGGAAUAUUUUCAGUUUAUACAACAAUUAUAAUCUAGCCAUAAUAAAAGUUGGUAAUCUAGUGCA